UGGACCCUUAUUUCAUUGCUAUUGGUUCAUUCUGUAAAGCACAGUACGUAGCAUGUGAUCAUUAUGGAUCCUUCUUUCAUUGCUAGUGGUUGAUUCUGUAAAGCCCAUUAAAUACCAUUGUGAUCAUUGUGGACCCUUUUUCAUUGCAACUGGUUCAUUCUGUAAAGACCAGUACAUAGGAUUGUGCUCAUUGUGGACCCUUAUUUCAUUGCCAGUGGUUAUUUCUGUAGAGCCCAGUACAUAGCAUUGUGAUCUUUCGGGACCCUUCUUUCAUUGCAAGUGGUUGAUUCUGUAAAGCCCAGUUCAAAGCAUUAUGUUCAUUUGUGGAUCUUGCUUUCAUAGCAAGAGGGUCAAUCUGUAAAGACCAGUACUUAGCAUUGUGACCUUUGUGGACCCUUAUUUCAUUACAGCUGGUUCAUUCUGUAAAGACCAGUACAUAGGAUUGUGCUCAUUGCCGACCCUUAUUUCAUUGCCAGUGGUUAUUUCUGUAGAGCCCAGUACAUAGCAUUGGGAUCAUUAGGGACCCUUCUUUCAUUGCAAAUGGUUGCUUCUGUAAAGCCCAGUUCAAAGCAUUAUGUUCAUUUGUGGAUCUUGCUUUCAUUGCAAGAAUUCAUUCUGUAAAGCCCAGUGCAUGGCAUUCUGUUUAUUGUGGAUCCUUUAAAUGCAACUGGUUCAUUCUGGAAAGUCCAGUGCAUGGUGUAAUAUUCAUUGUGGAUCUUCCUUUCAUUGCAACUGGUUCAUUCUGUAAAGCCCAGUACUUAGCAUUGUGGCCUUUGUGGACCCUUCUUUCAUUGCAACUCGUUCAUUCUGCAAAGCCCAGUAUGUAGCAUGUGAUCAUUAUGAACCCUUCUUUCAUUGCUAGUGGUUGAUUCUGUAAAGCCCAGUACAUAGGAUUGUUCUCAUUGUGGACCCCUAUUUCAUUGCAAGUGGUUAAUUCUGUAAAGACCAAUACAUAACAUUGUGAUCAUUAGGGACCCUUCUUUUAUUGCAAGUCUUUGCUUCUGUAAAGCCCAGUUCAAAGCAUUAUGUUCAUUUGUGGAUCUUGCUUUCAUUGCAAGAAUUAAUUCUCUAGAGACCAGUACAUAGCAUUUUGUUCAUUGUGGAUCCUUAUUUCAUUGGAAGUGCUUCAUUCUAUAAAGCCCAGUACUUACCAUUGUGCUAAUUGUGGACCCUUCUUUCAUUGCUAGUGGUUGCUUCUGUAAAGCCCAGUUCAAAGCAUUAUGUUCAUUUGUGGAUCUUGCUUUCAUUGCAAGAGGUUCAUUCUGUAAAGACCAGUACAUAGCUUUUUGUUCAUUCUGGAUCCUGCUUUCAUUGCAAGUGGUUCAUCUGUAAAUCCCAGUGCAUGGCAUUCUGUUCAUUGUGGACCUUUUAAUUGCAACUGGUUCACUCUGUAAAGCCCAGUGCAUGGCAUUAUGUUCCUUGUGGAUCCUCCUUUCAUUGCACGGGGUUCAUUCUAUAAAGCCCAGUGUUUACCUUUGUGAUCAUUGUGGACCGUUAUUUCAUUGCAACUGGUUCAUUCUGUAAAGCCCAGUACCCUUAGGGACCCUUCUUUCAUUGCAAGAGGGUCAUUCUGUGAAGCCCAGUUCAAAGCAUUAUGUUCAUUUGUGGAUCUUGCUUUCAUUGCAAGAAUUCAUUCUGUUAAGAC
rnacentral:lncRNA from 1 species